rfam:Ictidomys tridecemlineatus contig019599, whole genome shotgun sequence.
GGGGUUGUGGCUCAGUGGUAGAGCACUUGCCUAGCACGUGUGAGGCACUGGGUUCGAUCCUCAGCACCA